rnacentral:rRNA from 1 species
UACGUAGGGGGCUAGCGUUGUCCGGAAUCAUUGGGCGUAAAGAGCGUGUAGGCGGCUUGGAAAGUCCGCUGUGAAAGUCCAGGGCUCAACCCUGGAAUGCCAGUGGAUACUGUCAAGCUAGAGUCCGGAAGAGGCGAGUGGAAUUCCUGGUGUAGCGGUGAAAUGCGCAGAUAUCAGGAGGAACACCAAUGGCGAAGGCAGCUCGCUGGGACGGUACUGACGCUGAGACGCGAAAGCGUGGGGAGCAAACAGG